GACGAACGCUGGCGGCGUGCCUAAUACAUGCAAGUAGGACGCAGUUGCGAACGGGUGAGUAACGCGUAGGUAAUUACCUAUUAGAGGGGGAUAACUUUUGGAAACGAAAGCUAAACCCGCAUAUUAGUAGAUGGACCUGCGUUGUAUUAGCUAGUAGGUAGGGUAAUGGCCUACCUAGGCAAGGAUACAUAGCCGACCUGAGAGGGGGAUCGGCCACACUGGGACUGAGACACGGCCCAGACUCCUACGGGAGGCAGCAGUAGGGAAUCUUCGGCAAUGGGGGGAACCCUGACCGAGCAACGCCGCGUGAGUGAAGAAGGUUUUCGGAUCGUAAAGCUCUGUUGUUAAGGAAGCGGUACUUAACCAGAAAGGGACGGCUAACUACGUGCCAGCCGCCGCGGUAAUUC
rnacentral:rRNA from 1 species